AUCUUGAUGAGGAGGAUGGUACCUCAAGAUAGGAAGUGCCAUGUGACACUUUUAUCAGCAGUCGCAUUUUUCCCAGCUUGCCUCUUUCUCGCUUUCUUUUCUCUUCGCCUCCUCUCAGAUCCAAUCAAAUUUAGGGUUUGUUGAAAGAGAGAGAGAGAGAGAGAGAGAGAGUUGGAGGCAUUUUUGGUCUUGUUGGAUCAGCUGUUCGUAUGAUUUUAAAGGGGUUUCUGAGAGAU